AACAUCGCUCUUUGAAAAAAUAAUUAUAAAGAGUACUGCCUGCCCAGUGAUAAAAUUUAAACGGCCGCGGUAUUUUGACCGUGCAAAGGUAGCAUAAUCAUUUGUUCUUUAAUUGAGGACUAGUAUGAAAGGCAAAACGAAAGCUUAACUGUCUCCUUUUUAAAAAAUGAAAUUAGUAUUUUUGUGAAGAAACAAAAAUAACAAAGUAAGACGAGAAGACCCUGUCGAGCUUAAGAAAAUUUUUAUAAUAAAUUUUUAACAAGAUAAACAAAAUUCUACUAUAAAAAUAAAAUAAAAAUAUCUUUGGUUGGGGCAACCACGAAGAAAAAAAAACCUUCGUUUUUAAAAAAAAAUUUACAAAUUUAAAAAUUAUUAAAAAUUUAAAAGAUCCAGAAAAUUCUGAUCAAAGAAAAAAGUUACCGCAGGGAUAACAGCGUUAUUCUCUUUAAGAGCUCUUAUUGACAAGAGAGUUUGCGACCUCGAUGUUGGACCGGGGCACCCAAGAGGUGUAGCAGCCUCUAAAGGUAGGUCUGUUCGACCUUUAAAGCCCUACGUGAU
rnacentral:rRNA from 1 species